CUCCGUCAAACAACAGUCUGGGCUUUCUCCUGCGACAAAACCUCACACCCAGAAUGAUGAUAAUGAAAGUCAGAAAAAAUGUAGACACAGAAACCAGCGCGAUGAUCAGAUAAGAGGUCAGUUUGGAAUUCUUCUCAUCAUAAGAAAUAUCCUUCAGUUCUGGCACCUCAGCCAAGUUAUCAGAAAUAAGUAAAUACAUGGAGCAGGUGGCAGAGAGAGAGGGCUGUCCGUUAUCUUUCACUGACACAAUAAGGUUCUGUUUCAUGCUGUCAGAUUCAGAAAUGUCCCGCUGUGUCCUGAUCUCUCCGCUGUGGAGACCAAUAGUGAAAAGUCCCGGAUCAGUCGAUUUGACUAUAUGAUAGGACAGCCAGGCGUUCUGUCCGGAGUCCGCGUCCACAGCUAUUACUUUGGAUACCAGAGAGCCUCCGUGUGCAGCUUUGGGGACCAGUUCGGUCAUGAACGAGUUGCCCUCCGGGCCGGGGUACAGUAUCUGAGGAGAGUUGUCAUUCACAUCUGAUAUGAAGACACUGACGGUCACGUUGCUGCUCAGAGGAGGAGAACCGUUGUCUCUGGCCAUCACGUGGACUUUAAAACUCCUGAACUGUUCAUAAUCA